rnacentral:rRNA from 1 species
GGGUUGUGAGGUUAAGCGACUAAGCGUACACGGUGGAUGCCCUGGCAGUCAGAGGCGAUGAAGGACGUGCUAAUCUGCGAUAAGCGCCGGUAAGGUGAUAUGAACCGUUAUAACCGGCGAUUUCCGAAUGGGGAAACCCAGUGUGACUCGUCACACUAUCAUUAACUGAAUCCAUAGGUUAAUGAGGCGAACCGGGGGAACUGAAACAUCUAAGUACCCCGAGGAAAAGAAAUCAACCGAGAUUCCCCCAGUAGCGGCGAGCGAACGGGGAGGAGCCCAGAGCCUGAAUCAGCAUAUGUGUUAGUGGAAGCGUCUGGAAAGGCGCGCGAUACAGGGUGACAGCCCCGUACACAAAAGCGCAUGUGCUGUGAGCUCGAUGAGUAGGGCGGGACACGUGGUAUCCUGUCUGAAUAUGGGGGGACCAUCCUCCAAGGCUAAAUACUCCUGACUGACCGAUAGUGAACCAGUACCGUGAGGGAAAGGCGAAAAGAACCCCGGCGAGGGGAGUGAAAAAGAACCUGAAACCGUGUACGUACAAGUAGUGGGAGCCCCACCACUAAGCCAGUGGUGAACUCCACAUACGCAUCCUUUGCUGAGGAUACGGUUAACGGAGCGCAAGCGACGUUCAACCGCAAAAGAAGCAGAGGGGGCUUAGUGGUGGGGUGACUGCGUACCUUUUGUAUAAUGGGUCAGCGACUUAUAUUCUGUAGCA